rnacentral:lncRNA from 1 species
UGCUAUGAGUCUUGAUAAAUUGGAGAAGAGCCCAAGAGAAAUUCAUCAUCCUGAGAUACAAAAGGAUUUAUUGGUUCAUGAAGAGUAAGAGGGAUCGGUGAAUUUUAACUCUGGAAUCCUCUAUGCUAAUGAUAGUCAGCUUACAGAUGAUUAAAUGUUCAGUAAUGCGCUCCACUCUCCAGAGGAUUAUUGUGAGCAGAUGUGAGCUCUGCUGUCCCUUUGGACUGACAAAGACAGAGGUUUUGUCCCAAGUUUCUUUUGAACCUGUCCUGCACCUGUUACAAGUCCUCAGUCUCCUGCAAUUUUGUGGGUCAGUCACAUGUAAAACAGCACAACUGGCUGGCAUGCUUUGCUUAUGAGGAGACACAAGAGAAGAAUCCCUCUGCUCACACCAGACCUGCAGCUGCCAAAUCCACCAAAGCACCUGAGGAGCCCCCAGGAACUGAUGGUACAGAAGGGAGGCGAUUGAGGACAGCACAGCAGCUAGCCUGCCCUCCAUCUGGGUGUGAAGAAGGCAGGGCUGGGAAAUGUCAGCAACAUCCCAGCAGGUCUGGCUCAUGGUGCCACCCUGAGGGCUUCCCCUGCCUUUGGGCAGUCCCAGCUGCUGCUGCUCACUUGACAAAGACUCAUUGUCUAUAC